rnacentral:snRNA from 1 species
AUACCUUUCUCGGCCUUUUGGCUAAGAUCAAGUGUAGUAUCUGUUCUUAUCAGUUUAAUAUCUGAUACGUGGGCCAUCGGCUCACAUGAUAUUAAAUUAAUUUUUUUAGGGGAGAGCCCCUUACAGUAGCUUGCUACUGGGGCUCUGGACUGUCGCCCAUGCGUUGCACUACUGCUUGGGCCUGGCGCACCCCAC